rnacentral:tRNA from 1 species
GGGUGCCUUGGGCCGGGCAGCAGGCCGCCGUUUUCCAGCGCCGGGGACUUUGGUUCCGGGGACCUUGGUUCCGGGCCGGGUGGUGACCG